rnacentral:misc_RNA from 1 species
AGUAGUACUAUUAAGGUUUGUUAAGGUUUUUACGUUAGUUGGAUGCAAGCCUUAAACUAUUUAGUUUUAAAUUUCCUUGAAACGUGAGAAAACAUGUGAUUCUAGACAUCACACUUAGAGUUCGUUUGGCAUCUCACCUAAACUUCCAUCAAUGUUGGUGCAUCUUGCAAUAUGAACAUUCUGGAUGUAUCCUGAGGGUGGUUGUUUACUUCUGUUUGAUGUAAUAAUAGGUGCCUAAUUUUCUUGUUUACAGCUUUAUAGAGAAGAA